CCCUUCCAAGUUCUCAUAGUGCGUGGCUGGGAUGGGGGCGGCGCUCACGGUGAGGAAGCCCCGAGCUCCCGGGACGCAGACAGGGUGUGCAGGGCCGUAGCUCGGGCCUGUGUAUGCACGUGUGCGUGUGUGUUUGACGCCAGGACAAGGCGGCGGUGUGCGCGGCGAGGAGGCUGCGACAGCUGUAUAGACCCCAGCUGCAGUGAAAUGGCCAUCAAAAAGGGAAGGGAUAAUCUAGUGGUGGAAUAAAAUCUGCAAACAGAAAAAGCAGAGACCUGUUUUCGGAACGAGGCUUUUCGAGUUGUAAGUGUCCCUUAGGCAGAGUUCUGGGAAGACGUCUGGGGAGAACCUAGGAGUAGGAUUCCUUCCUCAGAGGCUCUCCCUUGGGAACUCUCAGAGGUCAGGUUCCAUGUGAUCCACAUCAUUCCCAGAGCUGUCUCCGCAGGAGACUUACGUGAAUUUAGAGAAAGUCCCCAGUCCUGGAUAUCAGUGACCCUGGCCUUUCCCUUGAAUACUAAGAAGGGUUAGCAGUACUCCCAUCUCCCUUUUACUUCCAUCUGAGUAUGUUUAUGGUAGAUGAUGAGAGCUCGUGUGGUGGCAAUAAUUUUUUCCAAUUUAGCCAAUCUGGGUUCCAAGAAAGGUCUGAUGUCUCAUGAUUCCUUACCCCUUCUCCCUUGCCUUGAGGUUCUCUAAGAGCCCCGAGGAAAGGGAACCGUUGCUGAGCAUAUCUGAAAACCAAGGUCAAGGAAGUUUUGUUGUAUUUUCUAUUUUUGUUCUCUUUGAUUUUGUUUUUCAGCAAGGGAGUAUUUUUUCUCCUCCUGAAAUGCUAGUCAGUGGUUAGGUUACUAUUAGGCAGGGCCUUGUGAGGUGCUUUGACCAAUAGAAUGUGGUGGAAGUGAUAUUGUGAGACUUCUGAGACAAAGCUUCAGGAAGUCUUGCAGCUUUUUCUCUUCCCCUUUUCCUGCCCUGAGACCACCAUGACUGAAGGCUAAGAGCAACUUGCUUGCGGAUUAAAGAUCACUUGGAGAGAGAGGUCCAGUGAGCAACAACGGCCAGAAAUUUCAGGGAGACCAUCUUGAACCAUCCAGCCUCCACCAAGCCAACAGCUGACAGCUGUCACAUGAAUAUGAUCAGCAGAAGAACCACUCAGGCAAGCCAAGCCCAAAUUGCCAAGCCCCCCAAAUAAUGAGCUAAUUAUUUUUUGUUUUAAGCCAUAAACUUUUGAGGUGGUUAUAUAGCAAUAAAUAACUGAAAAGGU